AAAACAAUAGGCAUCAAUUUGAAAAAAUCCGUUAUUAUUCCGUUCUUAAGUAGCAUAUGUAAUUGUUAGACAAAUUAAUAUUUAAAAUUAUUUUUAUAUUUAAAAUCAAUAGUUUCAAUAUUAUUUUCAAGUGACAAGCUAAUAUUUUUUGUGUUCCUUCCUCUACGAUGAAAAGCACUCGCAGGAUUGGGAUCAAGCCAUGAAAAGAACCAAUUGACUGUUGAACAUGAUAAUGGUUUAACCCUUUUCAACCCACUCGCUCUGAAUAUUUAGCAGAAACCUGAAAAUGUCAAUUGUUGAAAGACACAGGCAAAGUAUCACAUUAGAAGCUAUCAAUUCAUUUUCAUAAUUGUGGCUUUGGAAAAGAAAGCUAAAAAUUGGAUAACUUUUAUUCAACCAACACUCAUCCAGUAUAAUCAUUGCGAUUCUCGGUUCAUCUGAGCUAAAUUAGUAUGUAGUGUUAAUGUUGACAUGGAUGAUUGAUUCUCUCCUUUUCCAUUCGUUUCUUGGUCUCCCUGAUAAAAAUUGAACUGUUUCCAAGAAAUCUGUUUAUGCUGAAAAUUUAACUGUUAUCUUGCUGAUUUUUAUUCCUUGGAAUAUUCCUGAUUACUCUCUUUGGAAAUCAACUCACUAAGUCAAUGGUGUUAUUAUUGGCCUAGAAAAAGUUGCCUCUUUCAAUGACUCUAUAGAUCUCCAAAGCCAUUCAGGAUUCAGGAAAAUCAAAGGCUUGACGGUCAAAGAUACACUUUUUGAAAGAUGACCUCUGGCUUAAUCCAAUCAUUUUGUCAACCUGGAUACACUUAAAGAUAAGACAAAGAAUCAUUGAUAAAUGGUCAAAAAACAAUGGAGGAGCAACAUUAUCACAAUGGAUUCACUUGGAUGGAUGGUAAAUUACAUCGACCCCAGGAUUAAUGUUACCGAAUAAACUUCCAUGGGAUUCACCAAGGCAAUGAUCCAAAGAUUGAUUAUCUGAUAAUGGUCUUAUCAAUCUUACCUU